rnacentral:rRNA from 7 species
CCCAGACAGCCAGGAUGUUGGCUUAGAAGCAGCCAUCAUUUAAAGAAAGCGUAAUAGCUCACUGGUCGAGUCGGCCUGCGCGGAAGAUGUAACGGGGCUAAACCAUGCACCGAAGCUGCGGCAGCGAACGUAUCACUUAAAGCGAUUCAGCGGGUUACGAUUGACGGAGCGAAGCGACGUCAAAGCGUAUACAAAGUCGAGUCGGUUUAAGGAUACGUUCGUUGGGUAGGGGAGCGUUCUGUAAGCCUGUGAAGGUGGCCUGUGAGGGUUGCUGGAGGUAUCAGAAGUGCGAAUGCUGACAUAAGUAACGAUAAAGCGGGUGAAAAGCCCGCUCGCCGGAAGACCAAGGGUUCCUGUCCAACGUUAAUCGGGGCAGG